CAGUAAGGAAUAUUGGUCAAUGGACGAAAGUCUGAACCAGCCAUGCCGCGUGGAGGAUGAAGGCCCUCUGGGUUGUAAACUUCUUUUAUAUGGGACGAAAAAAGGCCUUUCUAGGUCACCUGACGGUACCAUAUGAAUAAGCACCGGCUAACUCCGUGCCAGCAGCCGCGGUAAUACGGAGGGUGCAAGCGUUAUCCGGAUUCACUGGGUUUAAAGGGAGCGUAGGUGGGUUGGUAAGUCAGUGGUGAAAUCUCCGGGCUUAACUCGGAAACUGCCAUUGAUACUAUCAGUCUUGAAUAUUGUGGAGGUUAGCGGAAUAUGUCAUGUAGCGGUGAAAUGCUUAGAUAUGACAUAGAACACCAAUUGCGAAGGCAGCUGGCUACACAUAUAUUGACACUGAGGCUCGAAAGCGUGGGGAUCAAACAGGAUUAGA
rnacentral:rRNA from 1 species